AACCGGUCUCACACCAUUACCAUCACCUUGCCCUUGUGAAGGCAGAUAUGGAUAAGGUUCUCAAAGCUGAUAGAAGAUUGAAACCACUCUCAUCCUGUGACGAUGAACCUGCCCCGGAAGAGAGAGCCUAGAGAAUUGCCAAAGCUGUCCGCAAACAGUCAAUAGAAGUGAAGGAAAAUUGGGAACAACUGAAAAUCCGUGCGAGCAACUGGCAGAAACAGGUGGAAAAGGCGUUGGAGAAACUUCAAGAACUGCUGAAAGCUCUGGAUGAUCUUGAGGCUCAUGUGAUAACAGCUGAGGGGGUCCACACUGAUUGGCAACCUGUGGGUGACCUGCUUAUUGACUCAUUGCAGGAUCACAUUGAUAAAACCACAGGUAAGGACUAUCUUCAAAAUCUGAGAUUGGGUUUUGAAAGACAGCAGCCUUUGUUUUGGAGAGAUGAUGGGAACUGCAGAUGCUGGAGAAUGCGAGAUAACAACGUGUGGAGCUGGAUGAAGACAGCAGGCCAAUCAGCAUCUUAGGAGCACAAAAGCUGACGUUUCGGGCCGAG